AAGAUAGGCAUUUCUACGCAUGAGGGAGGAUGAGAAAGGACGGAGCAAUCUGCCGCUUAUGGAUGGACCGUGCGUCGCAUUAGCUAGUUGGAGUGGUAAAGGCACACCAAGGCGACGAUGCGUAGCCGACCUGAGAGGGUGAGCGGCCACACUGGGACUGAGACACGGCCCAGACUCCUACGGGAGGCAGCAGUAGGGAAUCUUCCGCAAUGGACGAAAGUCUGACGGAGCAACGCCGCGUGAGUGAAGAAGGUUUUCGGAUCGUAAAGCUCUGUUGCCAGGGAAGAAGAGCAAGGAGAGGAACUGCUCCUUGAGUGACGGUACCUGAGAAGAAAGCCCCGGCUAACUACGUG
rnacentral:rRNA from 1 species